CCUACGGGAGGCAGCAGUGGGGAAUAUUGCUCAAUGGGGGCAACCCUGAUGCAGCGACGUCGCGUGGGUGAGGAAGUACUUCGGUAUGUUAAGCCCUAUCAGCAGGGAAGAAAAUGCCGCUACCUGUCUCAGAAGCCCCGGCUAACUACGUGGCAGCAGCCGCGGUAAUACGUAGGGGGCAAGCGUUAUCCGGAUGUACUGGGUGUAAAGGGAGCGUAGUCGGGGUGCCAAGUCUGGUGGGAAAGGCCGGGGCUCAACCCCGGGACUGCAUUGGAAACUGGCAUGCUGGAGUGCCGGAGGGGCAAGCGGAAUUCCUGGUGUAGCGGUGAAAUGCGUAGAUAUUAGGAGGAACACCGAUGGCGAAGGCAGCUUGCUGGACGGUAACUGACGUUGAGGCACGAAAGCGUGGGGAGCGAACAGGAUUAGAUACCCCGGUAGUC
rnacentral:rRNA from 1 species